rnacentral:rRNA from 1 species
CCUACGGGGGGCUGCAGUGGGGAAUAUUGGACAAUGGGGGCAACCCUGAUCCAGCCAUGCCGCGUGUGUGAAGAAGGCCCUCGGGUUGUAAAGCACUUUCAGUGAGGAAGAACGCCUGGUGGUUAAUACCCAUCAGGAAAGACAUCACUCACAGAAGAAGCACCGGCUAACUCCGUGCCAGCAGCCGCGGUAAUACGGAGGGUGCGAGCGUUAAUCGGAAUUACUGGGCGUAAAGCGCGCGUAGGUGGCUUGAUAAGCCGGUUGUGAAAGCCCCGGGCUCAACCUGGGAACGGCAUCCGGAACUGUCAAGCUAGAGUGCAGGAGACGAAGGUAGAAUUCCCGGUGUAGCGGUGAAAUGCGUAGAGAUCGGGAGGAAUACCAGUGGCGAAGGCGGCCUUCUGGACUGACACUGACACUGGGGUGCGAAAGCGUGGGUAGCAAACAGGAUUAGAUACCCGGGUAGUC